UACGUAGGGACCAAGCGUUGUUCGGAAUUACUGGGCGUAAAGCGCACGUAGGCGGAUCGAUCAGUCAGGGGUGAAAUCCCAGGGCUCAACCCUGGAACUGCCUUUGAUACUGUCGAUCUGGAGUAUGGAAGAGGUGAGUGGAAUUCCGAGCGUAGAGGUGAAAUUCGUAGAUAUUCGGAGGAACACCAGUGGCGAAGGCGGCUCACUGGUCCAUUACUGACGCUGAGGUGCGAAAAGCGUGGGGAGCAACAGGG
rnacentral:rRNA from 1 species